UACGUAGGCAGCGAGCGUUGUUCGGAGUUACUGGGCGUAAAGGGUGUGUAGGCGGUUUUCUAAGUUUGGUGUGAAAUCUCCCGGCUUAACCGGGAGGGUGCGCCGAAAACUGGGAGACUAGAGUGCGGGAUGGGAGAGUAGAAUUCCUGGUGUAGCGGUGAAAUGCGUAGAUAUCAGGAGGAAUACCGGUGGUGCAGACGGCUCUCUGGACCGCAACUGACGCUGAGACACGAAAGCGUGGGUAGCAACAGG
rnacentral:rRNA from 1 species